rnacentral:tRNA from 1 species
UCCCCGAUGGUCUAGUGGUGAUGAUUUCCGCUUGUCACUAUCAGUAACAAGCGCGGGAGACCGGGGUUCGAUUCCCCGUCGAGGAG